AAGAAGAAAUGUUAAUGCCCAUGGCAUGGGUUCAAGGCCUCGACACAGGGACUUUGGGUCACUGAAGAUCAUUGAGAAAGAAGAACUGACAAUCCAUUGCAAAGCGACCUAUUUUUUUAGAAGUGGGGAAGAGGAAGGUGUAGUCAACAUAUUGAGAGAAGAAAAGCUGAAAAAAUAGAAGAGAAUGACAUUAUUUAAGCCUGUGAAUACUUUUACGUCUAAAGUCACAUUAAUGCCUGGUCCUACUGGGUCCAUAAACCAAUACGGACUCUUAAAGAGUCACAGUGGCAAGACAAAUAUGAGGACUGCAGACAUCAUGCUCUUUUUCAAUGACAUCUAAGUAGCAGAGUCACAGAGAUGAAGAGCAAUAAAGAAAACAAACCAGGGGUUGAAGCAGGAGGAUCACUUGAGGCCAGG